UUCCGUUAACGAGCGAGACCUGGGCGUGCUAACUAGGGGCUACUACUAUUUUUUUUGGGUAGUGAGUUUUCUAACCCCUUCUUAGACGGACUGCGGGCGUCUAGUCCGCGGAAGCUCCAGGCAAUAACAGGUCUGAGAUGCCCUUAGAUGUUCUGGGCCGCACGCGUGCUACACUGAGCGGGUCAGCGGGUGCGGAUGCGCGAAAGCGUUUCCUAAUCCCCAAAUCCGCUCGUGAUGGGGAUAGACGGUUGCAAUUUUCCGUCUUGAACGAGGAAUACCUUGUAAGCGUGGGUCAUCAUCCCACGCUGAAUACGUCCCUGCCCUUUGUACACACCGCCCGUCGCUCCUACCGAUUGAGUGGUCCGGUGAGGUCUUGGGAUUGAUAUGAAGGGAGCGUUUACGCUCGUUUCGUGUCGAGAACUUGCUCGAACCUUAUCACUUAGAGGAA
rnacentral:rRNA from 2 species